CCUACGGGAGGCAGCAGUGGGGAAUAUUGGACAAUGGGCGAAAGCCUGAUCUAGCCAUGCCGCAUGAGUGAAGAAGGCCUUUGGGUUGUAAAGCUCUUUUAGUGAGGAAGAUAAUGACGGUACUCACAGAAGAAGUCCUGGCUAACUCCGUGCCAGCAGCCGCGGUAAUA
rnacentral:rRNA from 2 species